rnacentral:misc_RNA from 1 species
GUCAAAGGUGAAGGAGCGGUUAUAGGGUAGGCUGAAGACGAUCUGUGAACAGUGAAUGACCCUGAGCUCCCCUCUUCACCAGACUGGGAGCUACCAUCUUUGUCAACAAGACGGAACGAAGCUGACUGGCUGUUAGUAUCUGCACGCUUGGAUUUACCAAGGCCCACAUGGACCAUAACCUUAUCCGACUCAUUUUCACUAAACUUGUCUUGAAUAGUGAGAAGAAUCCCAUCACGUGCAACAAAAUUAUUAUGUGACACUUGCUCAACCAUCACCUCCUUAAUCUCCUUUGAAAUCGAUGGGAUUUGAGAAGUUGUACUUGAUGCCCUUACUCUCCUUCGACUCCGAAGAGCUAGGAACACA